GGGGUAGAAGCUCAGUGGUUGAGCAAUCGAUUGCAGUUAUCGAUAGGUCAUGUGUUCGAUCCACAUUUGCCCCU
rnacentral:tRNA from 1 species